UGCCCAAUGGCCAAGCUGGUUAAGGCACCCGACUGUUAAAACGCUUUGAAACCCUUCUUGGGGUUCUAAACGAAGCGAGACACAAUCAAUCGGGAGAUCCUAAGUUCGAUCCUUAGCUGGGCAG
rnacentral:tRNA from 1 species